rnacentral:lncRNA from 1 species
GUUGUGAGGAUUCCAGAAAGGUGCGGAUCAUCAUUUUUGGACAAACGGUUUAAAAGUUAUGAUGGUUUGAAUAAUCGGGCGCCUUUCUGCAAAAUUACAAUUUUAAUUCGGCCGAGAAAAGAUUAAAAUUAUACGGGACACGUGGCAAUUCGUGGUUGGUCGGUACCGGUUCAAUCUAGGUUUUCAUUUGUGGCCGUCGGAUUGAGUAUCAACGGUGGAGAUUGAAGGGCUUACCGGGGCGGCGCGGGCUGCCGGAGACGAAGGAGAACGCGGCGGUGGCGGCUGGCGGCGAAGGCGGUGUGGGGCGGUUCGGCGUCUCGGGAGUAGGGGAGGGGUGGUUCGACGAGGCGCAACCGGCGGCGGCCUUGGCUUCGGGAGGCAACGACUGCGGCGGCUUAGGAACGAAGGCGGGCGGACGGCCGGCGGCUCGAGGCGGGCGCAUGGCGACUGGGCGCUGCGGAGCUCCAAAAACAGAACGGCACGCCUCACACAGUGCGCGAGAGAGAGCGGAGGAGGAUGAGGGGGUUGGCGGUGCGCGGAACUCACCGGGACGGUGGCGGCUUCGCGAAAACGGCGGCGCCUGAAGGAUUGCUCCGGCAAGAAAUUCCGGUGCCAAAGGUGCGAAAUCAACCGUGGGAGUUGGGGGAAAAGGAGGAGAGGGGUAUAUGGGCUUCGGAGUGACGCGCUCAAAAUCAAAGAUGGGGUCGUGUGCGAGGAGAAAACGGAGUGGAGUCGUGGGCGACGCGAACUCGGUUCGUGGCCGGCUUCUUCGGACUGGGUGGUUGGGGAAGAAGACAGUCUGACAGGUGGUGUCCACCUGUCAGCGGCACGGGCGGCUCGGGUGCGCGGCUGGACCGGGUCGGCUCGGCCCGGUUCGGUCCGGUUCGUCCGGUUCGGCCCAUUAGGCCGGGCCAGCCUUGGUUUUCUUUUUCUUUUCUUCUUUCCUUUUUCUUUUUUUCUAUUUUUUGUUUUUGAACUCCAAAAUUGAUUCAAAGCUCCAAAUCACUCCAAAUAAAAUCCAACAAAAUUUGUAAAAUCCUAUUUUCAUAUGAUCUAACUUUUGGGACAAUAAUUUCCUCAAAAUAAAAUAUUUAAAAAUACUUUUGACUAUAGAAUAGCCUUCAGGGCCUUAUAGAAUAUCAAAAUAAAUUCUUUUUCGAAAUAAUUUCCAAAGCCAACAUAUGGGAUAGCUAUAUAUAUGCAUUAAAUCCCUUUUAUACCAAAACCCUGAUGGGUUGAAAUGCAAAUUAUUCAAAAGCAAGAUCAAAGCCCAAAUUCAAAUAAAAGCACUUUUGUAAGUGGGUUUUCUGGGUUAACUUUGGGGUUUUAAAUGUGAUUAAAUGCAAGGGUGGCAUGAUGCUUAUGCAAUGCAAUGCAUAUGAAAGGUUUUUGAAAAUUUUGGGAUGUUACAAUUUAUCCCUGCAGGGUGUGCCAAUUUACCCGUACACGUUCGUCCAACCCUUGUUGCCACUCGAGUAGGAACACACAAAGACGUGUGUCGGCAGGAUUGGGUGACACGACGUUUCCAAGCCCCACAACUAAUCCAGGGGACCACCCAAUUGAGUCUAAUCCAAAACAAGAGCCCGGCCGAAGCGUCGUACGGACUCAAGAGUUGCGAGGACAGCUGGUGGUGGUUUAGGGCCCGCAGGAUGACCACUCCAGACUAGUGCCGCCGUCCUGUAUGAAUGCAAGGUCACCAACAAGUCUCCAACACAACACCAGUGUAUAUGCGAUAUGCCAAAUGAAACGCCCGAACUAUGUGGCCCCUGGAAGAGCUAUGAAACGAGUACUAAGCCGAGGGGGAACUCUGAGAUACGCUCUGUCACCAACCUCAUAAGUGACCUCCCUUCGCUUGGAAUUUGCGUAACUCUUUUUC